GGUUUUUUAGUCAAGAAUGAUUUUAAAUUGCAAAUUUGAAGGUGGAUUUUAGUCCCUAAACCU
rnacentral:tRNA from 1 species